rnacentral:rRNA from 1 species
GAUGAACGCUGGCUACAGGCUUAACACAUGCAAGUCGAGGGGAAACGGCAUUGAGUGCUUGCACUGAAUGGACGUCGACCGGCGCACGGGUGAGUAACGCGUAUCCAACCUUCCCGUUACUGCGGGAUAACCUGCCGAAAGGCAGACUAAUACCGCAUGUUCUUCGAUGACGGCAUCAGAUACCAAGCAAAGAUCCGUCGGUAACGGAGGGGGAUGCGUCUGUUUAGCUACUUGGCGGGGCGACGGGCCACCAAGGCGACGAUCAGUAGGGGUGAGGAGAGGAAGGUCCCCCACAUUGGAACUGGGACACGGUCCACACUCCUACGGGACGCAGCAGUGAGGAAUAUUGGUCAAUGGGAGGAAGCCUGAACCAGCCAAGUAGCGUGCAGGAUGACGGCCCUACGGAUUGUAAACUGCUUUUAUGAGGGGAUAGAGUGAGGGGCGCGUCCCUUUUUGCAGGUACCGCAUGAAUAAGGACCGGCUAAUUCCGUG